GACAGAGGUGCCGAGCGUUAGGCGGAAUCACUGGGCUUAAAGCGUGUGUAGGCGGGCCGUUAAGUGCCUUGUGAAAUCCCAUGGCUUAACCAUGGAACUGCUUGGCAUACUGGCGGUCUUGAGCAACCUAGGGGCGAGCGGAACAAAUGGUGGAGCGGUGAAAUGCGUAGAUAUAGGAAGGAACACCAGUGGCGAAGGCGACCACCUGGACUGAUACUGACACUGAGGUGCGAAAGCGUGGGGAGCAAACAGG
rnacentral:rRNA from 1 species